rnacentral:rRNA from 1 species
CAGUUGUUGUUGGGUAUGGCCUUCCGUAGCGUCGACUGGGUAUCCCGGCCUGUAGAUGGUCGACCGGCCACACUGGGUACUGAGACACGGCUUCUAGACUCCUACGGGAGGCAUCAUGUGGGAAUAUUGCACAAUGGGGUGGAACCCUGAUGCAGCGACGCCGCGUGCGUGGAUGACGGCCUUCGGGUUGUAAACCGCUUUCAGUAGGGAAGAAGCGAAAGUGACGGUACCUGCAGAAGAAGUACCGGCUAACUACGUGCCAGCAGCCGCGGUAAUACGUAGGGUACAAGCGUUGUCCGGAAUUAUUGGGCGUAAAGAGCUCGUAGGUGGUUGGUCGCGUCUGCUGUGGAAACGCAACGCUUAACGUUGCGCGUGCAGUGGGUACGGGCUGACUAGAGUGCAGUAGGGGAGUCUGGAAUUCCUGGUGUAGCGGUGAAAUGCGCAGAUAUCAGGAGGAACACCGGUGGCGAAGGCGGGACUCUGGGCUGUAACUGACGCUGAGGAGCGAAAGCAUGGGGAGCGAACAGGAUUAGAUACCCUGGUAGUCCAUGCCGUAAACGUUGGGAACUAGGUGCGGGGUCCAUUCCACGGAUUCCGUGCCGGAGCUAACGCAUUAAGUUCCCCGCCUG